UACGUAGGGGGCAAGCGUUGUCCGGAUUUAUUGGGCGUAAAGAGCGUGUAGGCGGCCAGGUAGGUCCGCUGUGAAAACUCGAGGCUCAACCUCGAGAUGUCGGCGGAAACCAUCUGGCUAGAGUUCGGAAGAGGAGAGUGGAAUUCCUGGUGUAGCGGUGAAAUGCGCAGAUAUCAGGAAGAACACCCGUGGCGAAGGCGGCUCUCUGGGACGGUACUGACGCUGAGACGCGAAAGCGUGGGGAGCGAACAGG
rnacentral:rRNA from 1 species